UCUAGUCUAUAAUUCCCCAAUAGUUGGCGAAGAUACUACUUCUAGUCCCUAAAGAUAUGCAUAUCUGGUCCUAGUAGUAAUAUUUGAGUGGGGACAAAAUGCGCCACUUAUUUAUAUAAAAAAAUAAAACACCUAAAGUUAAAGACAAAAAAAUUGGGCCGCUCAUAUAUCUCCUAUUCUCCUUCAUCAUUUUGGGGAUAGAUCCAAAAUCUUGUUCAUCAAAAAUACCUAAAAGUUCAACUCUCAGGUAAUUAUUUACUCUUGCUACUGGUUAUUUUGUUGUUUCCUCAAAAAUACUGAGUCAACCCUCUCCUUCCUUCCCAGCAAAACCCUAGAAUCCCCAUUCGUUCACACACUCAAAAAUUCUAUUCAUAUAAUAAGUCAAAUUCGAUAGUCAAAUUUAUACUAACUCCAUAUUGAUUUGAAAAUUCCAAUUUCAAUUUAAGAAAGUAAAAUGGCAUCAGAGAUCUAGGUGGUUGAGGAGGUGGAAUAAUAAAUGUCGAAUCAUCAUCGUCUUCAAUGACGGUUAACGGCGGCGGCGUUGAGGAGGAUAGUUUAAGAAACGAUGUGUAUAUGGCAGCGGCGUUGUUGGAUAUGGAGAAAUUUCAGAGAUUGGCAUUUCUGAUUUCCUUAUUCUAAUGUUGUUUCGGUGAGAUCUUUUGUGCAUUCUGUGUUUCUUCUCUUUAUUUGUGGGCUUUUUUAUGAAUGUGGGCUUUCUCUUCAAUUUGUUGUUGGAUGCUGUUUACGAUUUUGGGUGCUUCUUUAGCUACUUUCUCUUCAUUUUUCAACAGAUGAAUGCUUUACCUAUUUUUUCUUAUUUAGGGUGUUUAUUUUAGAGCUCUCUCGUUUCAUAGAUAUGUAUCUGAACUCUUUCUUUCGCUAACAUAAGCAAGCGUUAAUGUUUUCCCUUCCAGUUAUUCUUCAAAUUCUGAGAUAAUCCUUACUUAUGUGGUGACAAAUUCAAGAAUGAUAAGUUUAUGCUAAUACAAUUUAGGCUAUAUGAUUUGGGAAAGUUGAGAAUUUGUAGGAUCUAUUUUUUCUUGGUAUGGGAUCUUGUUUAAACCCAUCAAUUGAUGAUACUAAUAGUGCCAUUUUACUUAAAUAUCCUAUUUUUACUGAACUUUGUUGGGUAUAAGAGAUUAUAAUUGGGAUUGCAAUCUGUUCAGUUGUUGGUUUCUACACUUACAAAAUGUCUCGCGUAUGGUAUACUUGCAGGAAUCAUCCACCUAUAUUAGCUGAAUUAUGUCAAACCAAGGGCUGAAUAUGAUUCUGCAGCACAUGGACUAUAAAGAAAAAAUAAAAUAAGAAUGUCGCAUUUUCUUUUCAAAAGACUACUUAAAUACUUUCUGUCAAAGUGCAACAUUAUUUCAACUAUGUUAGGAGUUUCUCAUGUGGUGUUUAAAUUCUAUGAAAUUGUUAGUGAAAAAAUAUUGGAGUUAUACACAUUACCCUUGUGCUUUUGACUUCAUAAAUAUAAUGCCUUAUUUUUAAGCUCACAUUUUAUCUGAAUCAUGCCUCUUGCAUAAAGAAAUACCCAAUAAGUAGUUUUCUAAACAUUGAGUCAUUUUAAUCUUUGUGUCGUUAUCUGUGGUAGAUGAUGUAAUGAAACGACCCGCCAGGUCAUUUUGGUAAUCAAAUAACUGGUAAUGAUGCCUCUAAAUAAAUGAUUGUAUUCAAUAUUUUUGGAUUUUGUUGUCCCAAAGCACAAAAUUUAUGGCCAGGAAACUAUUGCGUCUAUCAUUGGAGCUGGUGUGUAUGGAAAAUCUGUGUGUAAUUCACAGAGUUCAUUUCAUUUCUCACUGUAUGUUUAGUUGUUGACUUAUGUACUUACAAGAUUUACAUCCUUUGUAGCGAGUACCUGACAUAGAAAGUAGGACGUAUUCACACAAGUGUAGUUUUGGAUCUGUUCUCUAAGCUGUCAUCAUAAUUGGUAGCAAGUGUAAAGAGUUCACCUGCCUUCAGUCAUUGGUUAGAUAACUAUUUAUCUCACUAUUUUCAGUAGAAAAUAGUUCUCGCUCUAGUUAGCUAUUUAGCUUUUCAUUAUUAAGGUCCGAACUAUGACGCCCAAUAGGUUCCUUGUGAUUUUAAGUUUGAAACCUUCAGUAUUUUAAAGGUUUGGAAUAAAGCAUGUAGAUAGAGCUACUUUAUGAAGAGUUAUGGAACUAUUAUGUUAUGCUGGGCUGAUUUAAUAUGUAGGUUUCUUGAAUCUUGUAAAAUUUCUAUGUUAAAUACGAGGUUCAGGCUUGUGAUCACAAAUAAUGAAAAGUCGCCUACACAAAAUUAGGUUUAGAUUGUUAUGCUAUGUUUGUUCUUAUUAUCAACCUCAUUUUUCUUGCUGCAGGAAUUCCGGGUUGGUUCAUUUUCUUGAACAGAUAUAGCACGUGUGAUCUUAAUAUUAGUUUCAGUCCUUCCUAAAAUAUAAUGUUCUUAUUCUUUCUCUUAUUCAUCUGGUCAUAUUAUUGCUUCAGAGUGUACUGCUCAUUUUUUUUUCCAGUUGCAAUUUGUUUCUUCCUAUUUUUGAUGCUAUCUUAUAUCCGACCCUUCUUGCUAUUAUAGUAGCCUAUCAUUUCCAUUACUAUAGUGUUUGUCAAUAAAAAGGAAAUAAUCAGCUAAACUGCAUACGAUAUAAUAUGGAUACGAUCUGAAACCUUGUUCCUUUUAUGAUAUGUACAUGGUGUCAAGGUGAAGAUCUCUUCUUUCACUUAGUGUAAUAUAUAUGAAGAAGAUUUGAAUACAGGUUGUGCCUGCUUAAUGUACAUUCAACCAUAUGAUGCGUCGUGAUAUCUAUUUAAUUUCCCUUUCUUAGUGCCUGGCUCUAAAAUAAUACUUUCUGCACUUUUCGUGGUAGCUAGCCACUGCAAAAUCAGCCCCGUUACUAUGCAUCCAUCUACUUUUAUCCUCCUCCCGGGUCACUUUAAACAUGUUUUAGAUCGUUUAACGUGUUCAAAGAAUUUGGGUAAUUUCCUACUCAUAGAAAUUUCUCCUCAUUCUAAUGUUUUUCCCGUAGUAUCAUUUACUUGUAUAAACCUUUGCAGUUUUAAUACAACCAGGAAUAAAAAGUUUCAAUCGUCUCUUUGUUGGGAUAAGGCUCAACUUGACUCUUUCUUUUUUCUUCUUCAUCCAGUAGCACAAGUAUUUACAAUGUCUAAACUUGUUCAGCUAAACUUUACUCCUUUUCUUUUCUUCUUCACCCUGGUAAGCAUAGGUUUUUUUUUCUUCUCAUGUUUGGCAAGAAGAUACUGGUGAACUGCAGGUUUUAGGGAAUAUAUUGAAGAAGUAUAUACUGCAUAUGAUCAACACAAACUAGAGACCACGUUCUAGGUUAAAGAUGAUGUUAGCCAUAGACAACAAUUAUUUUUAUUUGAGUGGAGACAUAAAUGAAGAAUAAUUGGAGGUUUCAUUAGAUUGUGUAAUGCCCUUUGUUUUCAGCUCUUAUUUAUGUAAUUUGCUCGAUGUCUAGCUCUCAAAAUAGUUUGGUUAUAACGUUAACAGGUUUAAUUUUUUUUGUAAUCUUGAAAUGUGUAAUUGGACUAUAUAUGAAAAUGGAAUUCUUCAAAGGAGAAGAAAGAUACAGUAUCCAGAUUUUUCUAUCCAAUAUGUUAUCUUUUAGAUACAA